UACGAAGGGGGCUAGCGUUGUUCGGAAUCACUGGGCGUAAAGGGCGCGUAGGCGGUCUGCUAAGCGUGCGGUGAAAGCCUGGGGCUCAACCCCAGGUCUGCCGUGCGAACUGGUGGACUAGAGCACUGUAGAGGCAGGUGGAAUUCCGGGUGUAGCGGUGGAAUGCGUAGAGAUCCGGAAGAACACCGGUGGCGAAGGCGGCCUGCUGGGCAGUUGCUGACGCUGAGGCGCGACAGCGUGGGGAGCAAACAGG
rnacentral:rRNA from 1 species